rnacentral:lncRNA from 1 species
AUGAUUAUUUCAGAGAGAAGGCAAGGUCCAUUAUUUCAUUUUUUAGAGAAUUCUAAUCGUAGUGAAAUGCUCAGGGUGAAGAUACUGGCAAGGAACAAAAUGGAAUUAAUAUCCAUUCAGUUCCCAUUGACUGCCAGAAAAUGGGAUAGAUGUCCUACAUGUUCAGAAUCUCAGGUGAUUAUCGUAAGAACCUGGUCUAAAGGCCACCCUGGCAAACCAAGAACACAGAAUUUUAUUACAGCUGCUGGAUAUGAAGACUCAGCAUAUGAUAUCGGCUGUGCAUGUAGGAGUCCCAGAUGCUUCUCAGGGUCUCUGAGAGGAUACAAAGGUACUGAGGGGGCCGGUGAGCACAGCACCUGGGAUUUGGAUGAGAAGCUGCAGGAAAGGAACUUUACAUCCCAAGGACAUGGUGUGGAGUCAAUAGUGCGAGGUCAUCCUGGGGAUGAGAAGGAGGAAGAGAGAGAAACACAGAAAAGCCUAAGCAGGCACCACAAAGAGACCGAGCCCAUCUGA